GUUUGGAUGAUGACUUAGAUUGUCGGAUACCCCUUCACUCCCUUAAUGAGUGAAACGUGAAGUCUGACAAAC
ensembl:snoRNA small nucleolar RNA, C/D box 101